ACAGUAGCUUAGUGGUAGAGCAUCUCCUUUGCAUGCAGAUGGUCCUGUUUCAAUCCUAAACAUCUCCAGGCAGGGCUG